rnacentral:rRNA from 1 species
CUCCCAAGGCUAAAUACUCCCUAGUGACCGAUAGUGAACCAGUACCGUGAGGGAAAGGUGAAAAGCACCCCGGAAGGGGAGUGAAACAGUUCCUGAAACCGUGUGCCUACAAGUAGUUAGAGCCCGUUAAUGGGUGAUAGCGUGCCUUUUGUAGAAUGAACCGGCGAGUUACGAUUUGUUGCAAGGUUAAGCGGAAAAAGCGGAGCCGUAGCGAAAGCGAGUCUGAAUAGGGCGCAUAAGUAACAGGUCGUAGACCCGAAACCAGGUGAUCUACCCAUGUCCAGGAUGAAGGUAAGGUAAUACUUACUGGAGGUCCGAACCCACGCACGUUGAAAAGUGCGGGGAUGAGGUGUGGGUAGCGGAGAAAUUCCAAUCGAACUUGGAGAUAGCUGGUUCUCUCCGAAAUAGCUUUAGGGCUAGCCUCGAGGUAAAGAGUCAUGGAGGUAGAGCACUGUUUGGACUAGGGGCCCUUCUCGGGUUACCGAAUUCAGAUAAACUCCGAAUGCCAUGUACUUAUACUCGGGAGUCAGACUGCGAGUGAUAAGAUCCGUAGUCGAAAGGGAAACAGCCCAGACCACCAGUUAAGGUCCCCAAAUAUAUGUUAAGUGGAAAAGGAUGUGGGGUUGCUUAGACAACCAGGAUGUUGGCUUAGAAGCAGCCACCAUUGAAAGAGUGCGUAAUAGCUCACUGGUCGAGUGACCCCGCGCCGAAAAUGUACCGGGGCUAAACAUAUUACCGAAACUGUGGAUGAACCUCUUUAGAGGUUCGUGGUAGGAGAGCGUUCUAAGGGCGGUGAAGUCAGACCGGAAGGACUGGUGGAGCGCUUAGAAGUGAGAAUGCCGGUAUGAGUAGCGAAAGAAGGGUGAGAAUCCCUUCCACCGAAUAUCUAAGGUUUCCUGAGGAAGGCUCGUCCGCUCAGGGUUAGUCGGGACCUAAGCCGAGGCCGAUAGGCGUAGGCGAUGGACAACAGGUAGAGAUUCCUGUACCAGUGCUAAUUGUUUAACCGAUGGGGUGACACAGAAGGAUAGGGAAUCGCACGAAUGGAAAUGUGCGUCCAAGCAGUGAGUGUGAGAAGUAGGCAAAUCCGCUUCUCGCGAAGCAUGAGCUGUGAUGGGGAAGGAAAUUAAGUACGGAAGUUCCUGAUUUCACGCUGUCAAGAAAAGCCUCUAGGAAGAGUAGUACUGCCCGUACCGCAAACCGACACAGGUAGAUGAGGAGAGAAUCCUAAGGUGAGCGAGAGAACUCUCGUUAAGGAACUCGGCAAAAUGACCCCGUAACUUCGGGAGAAGGGGUGCUCUAUUAGGGUGCAAGCCCGAGAGAGCCGCAGUGAAUAGGCCCAGGCGACUGUUUAGCAAAAACACAGGUCUCUGCAAAACCGUAAGGUGACGUAUAGGGGCUGACGCCUGCCCGGUGCUGGAAGGUUAAGAGGAGUGCUUAGCUUCGGCGAAGGUACGAAUUGAAGCCCCAGUAAACGGCGGCCGUAACUAUAACGGUCCUAAGGUAGCGAAAUUCCUUGUCGGGUAAGUUCCGACCCGCACGAAAGGCGCAACGAUCUGGGCACUGUCUCAACGAGAGACUCGGUGAAAUUAUAGUACCUGUGAAGAUGCAGGUUACCCGCGACAGGACGGAAAGACCCCGUGGAGCUUUACUGCAACCUGAUAUGGAAUGUUUGUACCGCUUGUACAGGAUAGGUAGGAGCCGAAGAGACGUGUGCGCUAGCAUACGAGGAGGCAAUGGUGGGAUACUACCCUGGCUGUAUGACCAUUCUAACCCGCCACGCUUAGCGCGUGGGGAGACAGUGUCAGGUGGGCAGUUUGACUGGGGCGGUCGCCUCCUAAAGAGUAACGGAGGCGCCCAAAGGUUCCCUCAGAAUGGAUGGAAAUCAUUCGCAGAGUGUAAAGGCACAAGGGAGCUUGACUGCGAGACUGACAAGUCGAGCAGGGACGAAAGUCGGGCUUAGUGAUCCGGUGGUUCCGCAUGGAAGGGCCAUCGCUCAACGGAUAAAAGCUACCCCGGGGAUAACAGGCUUAUCUCCCCCAAGAGUCCACAUCGACGGGGAGGUUUGGCACCUCGAUGUCGGCUCGUCGCAUCCUGGGGCUGUAGUCGGUCCCAAGGGUUGGGCUGUUCGCCCAUUAAAGCGGCACGCGAGCUGGGUUCAGAACGUCGUGAGACAGUUCGGUCCCUAUCCGUCGCGGGCGCAGGAAAUUUGAGAGGAGCUGUCCUUAGUACGAGAGGACCGGGAUGGACACACCGCUGGUGUACCAGUUGUUCCGCCAGGAGCAUCGCUGGGUAGCUAUGUGUGGCAGGGAUAAACGCUGAAAGCAUCUAAGCGUGAAGCCCCCCUCAAGAUGAGAUUUCCCAUUUCUUCGGAAAGUAAGAUCCCUGAAAGAUGAUCAGGUAGAUAGGUUUGGAGUGGAAGUGUAGCGAUACAUGGAGCGGACAAAUACUAAUCGAUCGAGGACUUAACCAAAA